rnacentral:rRNA from 1 species
GCCUAAAGGGGCCGUAGCCGGUUUGGUCAGUCCUCCGGGAAAUCUGACGGCUUAACCGUUAGGCUUUCGGGGGAUACUGCCAGACUUGGAACCGGGAGAGGUAAGAGGUACUACAGGGGUAGGAGUGAAAUCUUGUAAUCCCUGUGGGACCACCUGUGGCGAAGGCGUCUUACCAGAACGGGUUCGACGGUGAGGGACGAAAGCUGGGGGCACGAACCGGAUUAGAUACCCGGGUAGUCCCAGCCGUAAACGAUGCUCGCUAGGUGUCAGGCAUGGCGCGACCGUGUCUGGUGCCGCAGGGAAGCCGUGAAGCGAGCCACCUGGGAAGUACGGCCGCAAGGCUGAAACUUAAAGGAAUUGGCGGGGGAGCACAACAACGGGUGGAGCCUGCGGUUUAAUUGGACUCAACGCCGGACAACUCGCCGGGGGCGACAGCAAUAUGUAGGUCAGGCUGAAGACCUUGCCUGAAUCGCUGAGAGGAGGUGCAUGGCCGUCGCCAGUUCGUACUGUGAAGCAUCCUGUUAAGUCAGGCAACGAGCGAGACCCGUGCCCACUGUUGCCAGCAUGUCCUCCGGGACGAUGGGUACUCUGUGGGGACCGCCGGUGUUAAAUCGGAGGAAGGUGCGGGCCACGGUAGGUCCGUAUGCCCCUAA